GGGCGCGUGGCUCAACCGCUCUGAGUCAUGACGUUGCUUUCGAAUAAAUAAGCAGAAUUUCGAAGGUAGUAGGUUCGAACCCUGCCGUGCCCU